GCAAACGGGUGCGCAACACGUACAGAACUUUCCUUUAAGCGGGGGAUAGCCCAGAGAAAUUUGGAUUAAUACCCCAUGGUAUUAUCAGGUGGCAUCAUUUGAUAAUUAAAGAUUUAUCACUUAGAGAUGGCUGUGCGGCUGAUUAGGUAGUUGGUGCAGUAACGGCUCACCAAGCCUUCGAUCAGUAACUGGUGUGAGAGCACGACCAGUCACACGGGCACUGAGACACGGGCCCGACUCCUACGGGAGGCAGCAGUAAGGAAUAUUGGUCAAUGGAGGCAACUCUGAACCAGCCAUGCCGCGUGAAGGAUGAAGGUCCUCUGGAUUGUAAACUUCUUUUAUGUGGGAAGAAAUGCAUUCUUUAUAGAGUGUUGACGGUA
rnacentral:rRNA from 1 species